rnacentral:rRNA from 1 species
UACGUAGGGCGCAAGCGUUGUCCGGAAUUAUUGGGCGUAAAGAGCUCGUAGGCGGUUUGUCGCGUCUGCUGUGAAAACCUAAGGCUCAACCUUGGGCUUGCAGUGGGUACGGGCAGACUAGAGUGCGGUAGGGGUGACUGGAAUUCCUGGUGCAGCGGUGAAAUGCGCAGAUAUCAGGAGGAACACCGAUGGCGAAGGCAGGUCUCUGGGCCAUAACUGACGCUGAGAAGCGAAAGCAUGGGGAGCGAACAGG